CUAAGCAGAACGUACACAAAACUAAAAGCUGGGAUUUGCAUUGGAAUAAUAUGAUCAACUUUUUUGUUGAGCUCGCGGCUGGUCAUGUGGCACACAAAAUACAGAAUUUGGCGGAGGACUUAGUUUAUGCGCUGCACAUGCUGUUAGGCCUGCUAGUACUGUCCCAUAAUUGCUGUUAGGCCUGCUAGUACUGUCCCAUAAUUCCUGUAAAGUAAAUCACCUAAUUCAGAGGCUCAAUUCCUAUCUACGCAAAGCUUGUGAACCAUAAAAUCUUCAAUGUUAUUGCAAAACCCCAACCCCCGUCUCUCUUAUUUACUCUCAAUCUCACAUCGCUCUCUCACUCCCGCACAUCAGUCUCGUUCCCGUCGAGAGCACCUCAGACGCCGCCUUCAUCCCGGUCGCCCGUCCUCUGUGUUUUCCGACGAGCCGGAGCCGCCGCCUUCCUUUCCCGGAAACUGAUUUCUCCCUACUCGUGCUGUGUAUAUGGAGUGGAAUCGAUCAAGACAUGUAUAUCAAAGAUGAUCAGAAGCAACCGAAGGGUGUUGUGAGACGAGUCAAGAAUCAUUCGAGAAAGCAAAGUUAUGCUGUAAAUAUAGUAUUGCUAGAAGUUAACUGAAAGAAAGAUUGUGCAGUAUAUAGUAGUAACAGAAACUCAAGCUAGGAGCCGGAGGAUAAGAUAAGGGUAAAGAUGGUUCGCCUGUUUAGGCUAAGCGUAAGAGUAAGGCUAGGCGAGGAUCGCAAGUGAUUAAAGUCAACCUUAGUCAGGAAGAAUAUCCAGGAUGAAGUCUUUGAGACUAGUGGUUUUUAAAUUGUUUUUUUUGUGGCACCAAAUCCAGACCCCCGGAUUUGAGGGAUGUCACGACCAUACCUGCUGUCAAACUGCGCUCUCCAUUUCUCGCACUCUUCGUUCUUUAUCAAUUCAUUAAGGAUGUACAUCAGAUAUUAUUGUUCCAGGGGUCGUAAGCGAGUUCCUCUGGGACCUGUGCCACCGAUUUCUAAACAAAAUGGUAAUUAGAGAAACGUCAAUAUGUUCAUCCAACUGAAUUUGAUGUGCAAUACAGAGCUACUGAUACUGAAAAUUCCAAUCCCAACAUUAUGAUAUCAGGUUCCUCGAGGACAAAAAGACCAGCAUCACAUACCUCUCUUUCCACUUGUGUCCUGUCGAUGUGAAUUUGCCGGCUGUUGGAUGUGACAACUGCUCACCUUCAGGUAAUAGCUACCAAAGCCCCUUGGGUCGAGAGUACUGGAGCAGAGGGCAGCUCUAAAUGAUAAUCGACCUAGGAGUUUUCAGGUGUCAAAGUGAUCUUAUCCAAUCAAUAUCUCAUUCAGAAACAUUUUUUUCAACAACCCUUCUUUAUAUGGUGGUGUCAGGACAAUGGAAUAGUUGGUAUUUUUGUAGUAUUCCAAGCAGAUGAUUGUAUUUAUGACAGGACACAAAUACAGUCUCCACAACUAUUAUAAUAGAGGACUGCCUGAGCUUUGUCUAUGUUGUGACGCCACUAAUUCUAGCUUGAGUCAUCCUCACGACGGGAUAUAUCCAUAAAUAAACAAAAAUAGUAAGUACAUCCCUGCAUCAGUGCCUUCUUUGCUUGACAUGUUUCCAGGACUCUUUACUAACAUUAAAUUACCAUGUCAUUGUAAUAGGAGAAGAUUUUUUUUUUUUUUUUUGACUAAAACGAGGAAUCGUUUUAUUGAUAUAAAAUCAGAAUACUACUUUUAACAAAAAUUAUUAAAUCACAAUACUACUUUUAACAAAAAUUGUUAAAACAAAUCUCUAUACAUCCUCUAGUUUUAUUGUGCUGCGAUCAAUCCAUAUUCUUGCAAUCAGAUGAGACUAGAAAUCCUUUUGGGGGCAAAGUGGUCAUGAAAGUACACUGGGUCUCAAGCUGGUAAUUCUUAACUUUCCAUGAUUGCUCAAUCGAGUGGCGAAUAACAUUGGACCGGAUAUGUAGAAGAAAGAAUACAAGACGAUUGUUGUUGAUGUAAUAUGGAUACUUUGUUCCUAAAUACAGAUUAUCUUUAGAUAAAGAUAAUUUCAAUGAAAGCAACUCACCUGGAUUAAGACGAAGAUGAUUGAUGUUACGAGACCCCAUCGUCAUAUUAAAAGUAGAAAGACUUGCAUCAAUGUCUGUGUUUAACUCAUUUUUGUUGUCAGGGUUCGAGAUAUUCAGGAAGAUGGUGAUAUUAUAGGAAAGUCUCGAUAAGCGCAUUUCAAAUUUAUUAUGUGUAACACUUGCCACUUGAAAUUGGGGUGAAGUGGAAUGAUGGUCUGAUUGACUAUUUAUAAUAUAAACAGUCGUAGAUACUGAAAGCAGAUAGUUACGACUGUUUAUAUUAUAAAUAGUCAAUCAGACCAUCAUUCCACUUCACCCCAAUUUCAAGUGGCAAGUGUUACACAUAAUAAAUUUGAAAUGCGUUUAUCGAGACUUUCCUAUAAUAUCACCAUCUUCCUGAAUAUCUCGAACCCUAACAACAAAAAUGAGUUAAACACAGACAUUGAUGUAAGUCUUUCUACUUUUAAUAUGACGAUGGGAUCUCGUAACAUCGAUCAUCUUCAUCUAAAUCCCGGUGAGUCGCUUUCGGUGAAAUUAUCUUUAUCUAAAGAUAAUUUGUAUUUAGGAACAAAGUAUCCAUAUUACAUCAACAACAAUCGUCUUGUAUUCUUUCUUCUACAUAUCCGGUCCAAUGUUAUUCGCCACUCGAUUGAGCAAUCAUGGAAAGUUAAGAAUUACCAGCAGGAGACCCAGUGUACUUUCAUGACCACUUUGCCCCCAAAAGGAUUUCUAGUCUCAUCUGAUUGCAAGAAUAUGGAUUGAUCGCCACAUAAUAAAACCGGAGGAUGUAUAGAGAUUUGAUUUAAUAUUUUUUGUUAAAAGUAGUAUUGUGAUUUAAUAAUUUUUGUUAAAAGUAGUAUUCUGAUUUUAUAUCAAUAAAACGAUCCCUCGUUUUAGUCAAAAAAAAAAUAAUCUUCUCCUAUUACAAUGACUUGGUAAUUUAAUGUUAGUUAAAUUUUGUGAAUUCAAGCUCAAAGUAUAAUAAUUAUGUUUCGUACCACUCUGAAAAACUUAUCAUAUCGUGUAAUAAAUAGUUGUAUUAGUUUAUGAAUUUAA